GGGUUGUGAGGUUAAGCGACUAAGCGUACACGGUGGAUGCCCUGGCAGUCAGAGGCGAUGAAGGACGUGCUAAUCUGCGAAAAGCGUCGGUAAGGUGAUAUGAACCGUUACAGCCGGCGAUGUCCGAAUGGGGAAACCCAGUGCAAUUCGUUGCACUAUCGUUAACUGAAUACAUAGGUUAACGAGGCGAACCGGGGGAACUGAAACAUCUAAGUACCCCGAGGAAAAGAAAUCAACCGAGAUUCCCCCAGUAGCGGCGAGCGAACGGGGAGCAGCCCAGAGUCUGAAUCAGCUUGUGUGUUAGUGGAACGGUCUGGAAAGUCCGACGGUACAGGGUGAUAGUCCCGUACACCAAAAUGCACAGGCUGUGAACUCGAAGAGUAGGGCGGGACACGUGGUAUCCUGUCUGAAUAUGGGGGGACCAUCCUCCAAGGCUAAAUACUCCUGACUGACCGAUAGUGAACCAGUACCGUGAGGGAAAGGCGAAAAGAACCCCGGCGAGGGGAGUGAAAAAGAACCUGAAACCGUGUACGUACAAGCAGUGGGAGCACCUUCGGGUGUGACUGCGUACCUUUUGUAUAAUGGGUCAGCGACUUAUAUUCUGUAGCAAGGUUAACCGUAUAGGGGAGCCGCAGGGAAACCGAGUCUUAACUGGGCGUUAAGUUGCAGGGUAUAGACCCGAAACCCGGUGAUCUAGCCAUGGGCAGGUUGAAGGUUGGGUAACACUAACUGGAGGACCGAACCGACUAAUGUUGAAAAAUUAGCGGAUGACUUGUGGCUGGGGGUGAAAGGCCAAUCAAACCGGGAGAUAGCUGGUUCUCCCCGAAAGCUAUUUAGGUAGCGCCUCGUGAAUUCAUCUUCGGGGGUAGAGCACUGUUUCGGCUAGGGGGUCAUCCCGACUUACCAACCCGAUGCAAACUACGAAUACCGAAGAAUGUUAUCACGGGAGACACACGGCGGGUGCUAACGUCCGUCGUGAAGAGGGAAACAACCCAGACCGCCAGCUAAGGUCCCAAAGUCAUGGUUAAGUGGGAAACGAUGUGGGAAGGCACAGACAGCCAGGAUGUUGGCUUAGAAGCAGCCAUCAUUUAAAGAAAGCGUAAUAGCUCACUGGUCGAGUCGGCCUGCGCGGAAGAUGUAACGGGGCUAAACCAUGCACCGAAGCUGCGGCAGCGAC
rnacentral:rRNA from 1 species